ensembl:processed_transcript 4930447F24Rik RIKEN cDNA 4930447F24 gene
GGGCUUGGAGGAAGUGGCUAAGGCUGUGGCAUAAGGGGUGCUGGGAUACGCACCACGUGCGGUUCUUUCUUCUCACCCACCCCACCUAGGGCUGCAGCACAAGAGAGCAUCUCAUGGAGUUGGGAACCCAGGGGGUUCACGAUGAGGGGCCAUCCCACAGAAACAUGGGCCAUCCACCAAGUCUUCCUGCUCCCGGGAGGCCAGGAGCUUGUGGCUUCUCAGGCGGUAGGAUCAAACAGAUGCAGUAAUCACGAGCGUGCACGCCUCCUCAGGAAGCCCCCACAUUCCAGG